GAUGAACGCUGGCGGCGUGCCUAAUACAUGCAAGUCGAGCGAACAGACGAGGAGCUUGCUCCUCUGACGUUAGCGGCGGACGGGUGAGUAACACGUGGAUAACCUACCUAUAAGACUGGGAUAACUUCGGGAAACCGGAGCUAAUACCGGAUAAUAUAUUGAACCGCAUGGUUCAAUAGUGAAAGACGGUUUUGCUGUCACUUAUAGAUGGAUCCGCGCCGCAUUAGCUAGUUGGUAAGGUAACGGCUUACCAAGGCGACGAUGCGUAGCCGACCUGAGAGGGUGAUCGGCCACACUGGAACUGAGACACGGUCCAGACUCUUACGGGAGGCAGCAGUAGGGAAUCUUCCGCAAUGGGCGAAAGCCUGACGGAGCAACGCCGCGUGAGUGAUGAAGGUCUUCGGAUCGUAAAACUCUGUUAUUAGGGAAGAACAAAUGUGUAAGUAACUAUGCACGUCUUGACGGUACCUAAGCAGAAAGCCACGGCUAACUACGU
rnacentral:rRNA from 1 species